rnacentral:misc_RNA from 1 species
AAGUCGUAACAAGGUAACCGUAGGUGAACCUGCGGUUGGAUCAUUAAUGAAUUAUGAGUGGCUACCUAGCGUAGUUCAACUUGUAUUCACCACUUGUGAACUGUAACACGUACUUGGCAAGUUAUAGCAGCUUGGCGUACUCCUAGAGCUAAACUACUAGGGGAAAGUCAUUUUGUUAGAGUCUGACCUCCACUCUUAUAUGGGUAGAGUGUUAAGAGCUUGCCAUAAUAGACCAUAUAUUAUCAAUUAGUCUAAUUUCUUAAAUAAAACAAAUUAAGAAACAACUUUUGGCAACGGAUCUCUUGGCUCUC